AGCCACUGAGGACGGAACGGGCUACCGUCACCACGCUGAAAGCGGCGGAGAUGUGGGAUACGCCAACCCACCUUGGUU
rnacentral:ncRNA from 1 species